CCCUCCACCGUUUUCACCACCUUGCACUCCAUGUGGCUCUCCUUUCCCCUAAUUCACAGGGUGAAGCCAGAUUUGGUCCACAGAGCAGUCAGAGAAGAGCAACACAUGCCUGUCCGAUGAGUGCUGACUGAGCACCAGGAACUGUGCUAGAAGUUAGAAGUGUUGUGUAACGGACCAGGAACAUGUGUUCCUAUCUGUGUAUCUGCCCUUCUCCUUGGGAUACUAGGAAUAAAGAAAGUGAUCAUUGUCUACGUUGAAAGCAUCUGCCGUGUAGAAA
rnacentral:lncRNA from 1 species